rnacentral:lncRNA from 11 species
CAAAAGCGGGCAAGGAAGGCUUGCCACAAGAUCCGACAAGGAUCUAGCCUGCGAAGGAAGGAAGGAAGGAAGAGAAUUUGUUCUCUUUGGAAGGAAGUUGGCUAUCUUUGAACCCUGCAGAGAAUGGCAGCAAGAAUGAUUUUUGCUAAGCAAUGGAAAAGUGAAGAUGUUCCGAAGAAAGACAGUUGGCUGAAUAAAAUAAGGGAAAUACGUGACAUGGACAAACUUACAUUUCUUUUGAAAGAAACAAGAGGAAAAAGUGUUAGAGAAACAAACUGGAAAAAAGUAGAUGAUUACCUUAAAACUUAAAAAAAAUGCAUUAAUUGCUGAACUUUGAGAAAAAUGAGUGAUAAGAUAUAGCUACAUACAGUGUAUAAAUGUAUAAAUUUAAGUAGGGAAGAGAACUUCCCAUAAGAAGGAGUUUCCUGUUAUUGGUUGUAUUAUUUCUUCAUUAUGUAAAAGUUUUUCUUUUCUUCCCCAACCCCCUCUCUUUUUCCUUUACCUUUUGUAAGUUUUUUUUCUGUUUUUUUAUUUAUUUUUUCUGUCUUAUUAUCAUUAUUUCUUCUCCCCCUUCCCCUUCUACCCUCACUUUUCCCCGUUUUUAUCUGCAAUCACUGUAUGUGAAAAAGAUUCAAUAAAA